rnacentral:rRNA from 1 species
GAUGAACGCUGGCGGCGUGCCUAAUACAUGCAAGUCGAGCGAACAGACGAGGAGCUUGCUCCUCUGACGUUAGCGGCGGACGGGUGAGUAACACGUGGAUAACCUACCUAUAAGACUGGGAUAACUUCGGGAAACCGGAGCUAAUACCGGAUAAUAUAUUGAACCGCAUGGUUCAAUAGUGAAAGACGGUUUUGCUGUCACUUAUAGAUGGAUCCGCGCCGCAUUAGCUAGUUGGUAAGGUAACGGCUUACCAAGGCAACGAUGCGUAGCCGACCUGAGAGGGUGCUCGGCCACCCUGGAACUGAGCCACGGUCCAGACUCCUACGGGAGGCAGCAGUAGGGAAUCUUCCGCAAUGGGCGAAAGCCUGACGGAGCAACGCCGCGUGAGUGAUGAAGGUCUUCGGAUCGUAAAACUCUGUUAUUAGGGAAGAACAAAUGUGUAAGUAACUAUGCACGUCUUGACGGUACCUAAUCAGAAAGCCACGGCUAACUACGUG